rnacentral:rRNA from 1 species
UAAUACCAGCUCCUCAAGUGGUGGGGAUGAUUAUUUGGCCUAAAGCGUCCGUAGCUUGCUCGGUAAGUCCUCCGUUAAAUCCACCGAUCUAAUCGUUGGGCCGCGGGGGAUACUGCAGAGCUUGGGGGCGGAAGAAGUCGACGGUACUCUUGGGGUAGGGGUGAAAUCCAGUAAUCCCAAGAGGACCACCAGUGGCGAAGGCGGUCGACUAGGACGCGCCCGACAGUGAGGGACGAAAGCUGGGGGAGCGAUUCGGAUUAGAUACCCGAGUAGUCCCAGCCGUAAACGAUGCAGGCUAGGUGUUAGCAUGACUACGAGUCAUGCUAGUGCCGCAAGGAAGCCGUUAAGCCUGCCGCCUGGGAAGUACGGCCGCAAGACUG